ensembl:lncRNA
AAUAGCAGGUUGGGUUCGGGUUAGGUCUGAAUAGGUAAACAUUAACGUAUCCAUAUGAUCAGCAGCAGCUGGCUUAUCUCCUCUUGGUUUGUGUUUGAUUUGGGGCAGGAAGCAUCUGUAUGAGGCCACAUGCUCAGAACCAGCCAACUAAACAAGCAAGAGCAUCUUUUGCUUCACCUUUCUCCUGCCGUCAACCCCUGUCAACGUCCCCGCGCCCCCUGAGGACCGGCUUUGCUCGCAGCUUGAAACCCUCCAGGCUGCAUGGAUUUAGCAGCAGGGACAAACAAAGGGCAGGAGACAAGGGGAAAUCAACACCGCGGCUCGCUCUCGUGGUCCAGAUGGAGACGGAAAGCAUGCCGCUGUCGCCUGCAGCCCGCAAAAUAAUUGCCGCCAUUUAGCCGGGCGCGUGGAGGCUGUAAACGACCCGGGCGUUGAGACAUAUACACGGGUGGAGAUAUACAAUAUAUACUGUAAUUCACAUGAAUAAUAGAUAACACACUGCCACCGGCUCAAACGUGAACCCAGCAUACUGAUGAGACUGAAAAAGGCAAUUAAUUUCCGCUGUGCGCCGUGGUUUCACCGUGACUGCUAAGGCAGCAUUAGCAUCGGGGCGCAUAAAACGGAGGAACUGCUAUGGCUAUGAUCGAAGAGGUGAUAUCUGUGGUCGACCCGCCCACGUUUCACGCAUCCUGCAUCCGACGCCCUGGCGCUUCAUGCACCAUCAUGCAAACCGUUCUGUGAAUCCCACCGGAUUUGGAGGCCGGGAUGAUCGAGACGGACAGUGGCGGCGUCGGUCCACCCAGAGGAACGUCACGUUUGAUCACGUUUAUGGCUCCAAUCAGGGCUGCGGGACUUUCAGAAUCAUCUGAAUGCUGCGAACUGCAGGUUCUAAUUGUGCCUCCUGAUGAGGAGAACCCAAGUCCUGUUCAGUUCUAACACAAUGUGAAUACUAAUGUUCACUAUUCACACACGCAUCUGCUCGGAUCGCUGAGCUACGACUGAAACAGAAUAAAAGAAUAGAAUCUGAGCCACAAAGACAAGCUAAUGCUGCUGUGUGUCCACAUGACGGCUUUUGUUGGUGCUUCAUCAAAGUUUUUAAUGCUGGUGGAAGAUUUGAACACAAGUGGCAAAUCUUGUGACUUCUGUCUCAUGUUUCCUCUUCCUGAGUCACUUCCUGUGGAGAAUUUACCGCAAGGCCGUCAUACUGAGAGUCUAAUCCCGAGGCUGGCGAUGCGCUGGUAAAAAUGAAAGAGUGGUUAUAAUGUGGGGAUAUUAAAAAAAACGAGGGGCAAGAGCACGUCUGUGCCCCAUCUCCUGCGUUUCCCUCUCAGGCUCUCGCCCAGUGGUGGAUCUUCGGAGAGUCUGACGGGGUUUGAAGGGCUCCUGAGAGGGAUUCUUUUUCUUUUCUCCUGCUCCUGCUGUCACCUUUGUCUUCUCCUCCGCCUUUCUCCUUCUCCGCAUUUGACGAGCUGACACCAAAGCCUUGUUUCAUCCCUGCUCCUCACGCUGCCGAUGACACCUCACUCAGGUGGAGGAGCGCUCCUGACUGACACGUGCGGCUGACGAGGAGCCAGAGCCAGAAAGCCCCUCGUGUCUUAACCCGAGCUGGAGACGGGCGUCGGUGGAGGGGGAAAAGCACUAUUCAAAGAAAGAAAUACGAAGGAGGCGCAUUGUUAUGCUCUCGGCUGCAGCUCUAACGUCACAUACAC